AUUGAACGCUAGCGGCAUGCUUAACACAUGCAAGUCGAACGGCAGCGCGAGGAGCUUGCUCCUUGGCGGCGAGUGGCGGACGGGUGAGUAACGCGUAGGAACCUACCUGAUAGAGGGGGAUAACUCGAGGAAACUCGGGCUAAUACCGCAUAAUCUCUACGGAGCAAAGCGGGGGAUCUUCGGACCUCGUGCUAUCAGAUGGGCCUGCGUUGGAUUAGCUUGUUGGUGGGGUAAAGGCCUACCAAGGCGACGAUCCAUAGCUGGUCUGAGAGGACGAUCAGCCACACUGGGACUGAGACACGGCCCAGACUCCUACGGGAGGCAGCAGUGGGGAAUAUUGGACAAUGGGGGCAACCCUGAUCCAGCAAUGCCGCGUGUGUGAAGAAGGCCUUAGGGUUGUAAAGCAUUUUCAGUGGGGAAGAAAGGCUCAAGAUUAAUACUCUUGAGAGUUGACAUUACCCACAGAAGAAGCACUGGCUAACUCUG
rnacentral:rRNA from 1 species